rnacentral:rRNA from 1 species
CUACCAUUAAGUUGAGCACUCUAAUGAGACUGCCUGGGUAACCAGGAGGAAGGUGGGGAUGACGUCAAAUCAUCAUGCCCCUUAUGUCCAGGGCUACACACGUGCUACAAUGGUAGGUACAAUAAGAUGCAAGACCGUGAGGUGGAGCAAAACUUAUAAAACCUAUCUCAGUUCGGAUUGUAGGCUGCAACUCGCCUACAUGAAGCUGGAGUUGCUAGUAAUCGCGAAUCAGAAUGUCGCGGUGAAUACGUUCCCGGGCCUUGUACACACCGCCCGUCACACCAUGAGAGCUGGUAACACCCGAAGUCCGUGAGGUAACCGUAAGGAGCCAGCGGCCGAAGGUGGGAUUAGUGAUUGGGGUGAAGUCGUAACAAGGUAGCCGUAGGAGAACCUGCGGCUGGAUCACCUCCUUUCUAAGGAGA